UACGUAGGGGGCAAGCGUUGUCCGGAUUUACUGGGCGUAAAGGGCGCGUAGGCGGCCUGCUAAGUCGAACGUGAAAUCCCUGGGCUCAACCCAGGAACUGCGUCCGAUACUGGUUGGCUUGGAUCCGGGAGAGGGAUGUGGAAUUCCAGGUGUAGCGGUGAAAUGCGUAGAUAUCUGGAGGAACACCGGUGGCGAAGGCGACAUCCUGGACCGGUAUUGACGCUGAGGCGCGAAAGCCAGGGGAGCAAACGGG
rnacentral:rRNA from 1 species